rnacentral:misc_RNA from 1 species
AAAAAUACCAAAAAUGUUAAAAAACAUUUUUGGUAUUUUUAUUAA